rnacentral:misc_RNA from 1 species
AAUUCUCAACCUUGUCAGCUUUUGCUGAUGAUGGAUUGGAUGUGGGGGUCUCUCUUGCUGGCUUCUUAGAGGUCAGCUCCCCUUAAAUGCAUUAGCUGGUGCCCCGUGUGGACCAUCUAUUGGUGUGAUAAUUAUCUACGCUAUGGAUGUCUGCAAUCAUAUGGGUUUUUGCACUGCUUCUAACUGUCUGUUAAUUCAGACAAUACAUGACA